rnacentral:rRNA from 1 species
UCUAGUAGCUGGUUCCCUCCGAAGUUUCCCUCAGGAUAGCUGGUGCAUUUAAAGAUUAUGUAAAAUAAUCUUAUCUGGUAAAGCGAAUGAUUAGAGGCCUUAGGGUCGAAACGACCUUAACCUAUUCUCAAACUUUAAAUGGGUAAGAACCUCACCUUUCUUGAUAUGAAGGUAGAGGUUAUGAUAUAAUGUGCCCAGUGGGCCACUUUUGGUAAGCAGAACUGGCGCUGUGGGAUGAACCAAACGUAAUGUUACGGUGCCUAAAUUAACAACUCAUGCAGAUACCAUGAAAGGCGUUGGUUGCUUAAAACAGCAGGACGGUGGACAUGGAAGUCGUAAUCCGCUAAGGAGUGUGUAACAACUCACCUGCCGAAGCAACUAGCCCUUAAAAUGGAUGGCGCUUAAGUUGUAUACCUAUACAUUACCGCUAAAGUAUAUGAUUUAUAAUACACAUGUAUUUUAAAUUUUGAAACUUUAGUGAGUAGGAGGGUACAAUGGUGUGCUUAGAAGUGUUUGGCGUAAGCCUGCAUGGAGCCGCCAUUGGUACAGAUCUUGGUGGUAGUAGCAAAUAAUCGAAUGAGACCUUGGAGGACUGAAGUGGAGAAGGGUUUCGUGUGAACAGUGGUUGAUCACGAGUUAGUCGGUCCUAAGUUCAAGGCGAAAGCCGAAAAUUUUCAAGUUUUAAUAUGAAUAAUAUAAAAUAUAAAAUUAUAAAUUUAAUUAAACACUUGAAUAAUUUUGAACGAAAGGGAAUACGGUUCCAAUUCCGUAACCUGUUGAGUAUCCGUUUGUUAUUAAAAAUGGGCCUUGUGCUCAUCCUGGCAACAGGAACGACCAUAAAGAAGCCGUCGAGAGGUAUCGGAAGAGUUUUCUUUUCUGUUUUAUAGUCGUACUACCAUGGAAGUCUUUCGAAGAGAGAUAUGGUAGAUGGACUAGAAGAGCAUGACAUUUACUGUUGUGUCGAUAUUUUCUCCUCGGACCUUGAAAAUUUAUGGUGGGGUCACGCAAACUUCUCAACAGGCCGUACCAAUAU